rnacentral:rRNA from 1 species
AACGAACGCUGGCGGCAUGCCUAACACAUGCAAGUCGAACGAGACCUUCGGGUCUAGUGGCGCACGGGUGCGUAACGCGUGGGAACCUGCCCUUAGGUUCGGAAUAACUCCCCGACAGGGGUGCCAAUACCGGAUAAUGUCUUCGGACCAAAGAUUUAUCGCCUUUGGAUGGGCCCGCGUUGGAUUAGCUAGUUGGUAGGGUAAAAGCCUACCAAGGCGACGAUCCAUAGCUGGUCUGAGAGGAUGAUCAGCCACACUGGGACUGAGACACGGCCCAGACUCCUACGGGAUGCAGCAGUGGGGAAUAGUGGAACAUGGGCGAAAGCAUGAUCCAGCUAGGCCGCGUGAGUGAUGAAGGCCUUAGGGUUGUAAAGCUCUUUUACCCGGGGUGAUAAUGACAGUACCGGGAGAAUAAGCCCCGGCUAACUCCGUG